rnacentral:rRNA from 1 species
ACGGAAGGCAGCAGUAGGGAAUCUUCCGCAAUGGACGAAAGUCUGACGGAGCAACGCCGCGUGAACGAUGAAGGCCUUCGGGUCGUAAAGUUCUGUUGUUAGGGAAGAACAAGUACCAGAGUAACUGCUGGUACCUUGACGGUACCUAACCAGAAAGCCACGGCUAACUACGUGCCAGCAGCCGCGGUAAUACGUAGGUGGCAAGCGUUGUCCGGAAUUAUUGGGCGUAAAGCGUACGCAGGCGGUUUCUUAAGUCUGAUGUGAAAGCCCACGGCUCAACCGUGGAGGGUCAUUGGAAACUGGGGAACUUGAGUACAGAAGAGGAGAGUGGAAUUCCACGUGUAGCGGUGAAAUGCGUAGAGAUGUGGAGGAACACCAGUGGCGAAGGCGACUCUCUGGUCUGUAACUGACGCUGAGGUACGAAAGCGUGGGGAGCGAACAGGAUUAGAUACCCUGGUA